UACGGAGGGUGCGAGCGUUAAUCGGAAUUACUGGGCGUAAAGCGCAUGCAGGUGGUUUGAUAAGCCAGAUGUGAAAGCCCGGGGCUCAACCUCGGAAUCGCAUUUGGAACUGUCAGACUGGAGUCUUGGAGAGGGAAGUGGAAUUUCCGGUGUAGCGGUGAAAUGCGUAGAGAUCGGAAGGAACAUCAGUGGCGAAGGCGGCUUCCUGGCCAAAGACUGACACUCAGAUGCGAAAGCGUGGGGAGCAAACAGG
rnacentral:rRNA from 1 species